GUGAAUCAUCGAAUCUUUGAACGCACAUUGCGCCCCCGGUAUUCCGAGGGGCAUGCCUGUCCGAGCGUCAUUGCAGACCCUCAAGCGCCGCUUGGUCUUGGGCGCCGGUCCCCGCGGACCCGCCUGCAACUCGUCGGCGGCACCGUCCGGCUCCAAGCGUAGCAAGGUCCUCGCUUCGGGGCUCGCGGCGGCGCGCGCCCGGGAACGCUCAACCCGUGGCUUGACCUCGGAUCAGGUAGGGAUACCCGCUGAACUUAAGCAUAUCAAUAAGCGGAGGA
rnacentral:misc_RNA from 1 species